rnacentral:rRNA from 1 species
UGGGGAAUUUUGCACAAUGGGGGAAACCCUGAUGCAGCGACGCCGCGUGAUUUAGAAGGCCUUCGGGUUGUAAAAAUCUUUUCUAUGGGAAGAAAAUGACAGUACCAUAGGAAUAAGGACCGGCUAAUUACGUGCCAGCAGCCGCGGUAAUACGUAAGGUCCGAGCGUUGUCCGGAAUCAUUGGGCGUAAAGGGUACGUAGGCGGGUAAGCAAGUUAGAAGUGAAAUCCUAUAGCUCAACUAUAGUAAGCUUUUAAAACUGCUCAUCUUGGGGUAUGGAAGGGAAAGUGGAAUUCCUAGUGUAGCGGUGAAAUGCGCAGAUAUUAGGAGGAAUACCGGUGGCGAAGGCGACUUUCUGGGCCUAACCUGACGCUGAGGUACGAAAGCGUGGGUAGCAAACAGG